UCCUAGUGUGAGCUCUGGAGCAUAAAAU
rnacentral:piRNA from 1 species